GCAGUAGCCACGGUAAAACGUAGGUGGCGAGCGUUGUCCGGAAUCAUUGGGCGUAAAGGGAGCGCAGGCGGGCAUGUAAGUCUUUCUUAAAAGUUCGGGGCUCAAUCCCGUGAUGGGAAAGAAACUACAUGUCUUGAGUACAGGAGAGGAAAGCGGAAUUCCCAGUGUUGCGGUGAAAUGCGUAGAUAUUGGGAGGAACACCAGUGGCGAAGGCGGCUUUCUGGACUGCAACUGACGCUGAGGCUCGAAAGUCAGGGGAGCGAACGGGAUUAGAUACCCCCGUAGUCCCUGUCUCUUAUACA
rnacentral:rRNA from 1 species